GGUACCUAAAGAAUAAGCACCGGCUAACUACGUGCCAGCAGCCGCGGUAAUACGUAGGGUGCGAGCGUUAAUCGGAAUUACUGGGCGUAAAGCGAGCGCAGACGGUUAGUUAAGCAAGAUGUGAAAUCCCCGAGCUCAACUUGGGAACUGCGUUUUGAACUGGCUAGCUAGAGUGUGUCAGAGGGGGGUAGAAUUCCACGUGUAGCAGUGAAAUGCGUAGAGAUGUGGAGGAAUACCGAUGGCGAAGGCAGCCCCCUGGGAUAACACUGACGUUCAUGCUCGAAAGCGUGGGUAGCAAACAGGAUUAGAUACCCUGGUAGUCCACGCCCUAAACGAUGUCAAUUAGCUGUUGGGCAACUUGAUUGCUUAGUAGCGUAGCUAACGCGUGAAAUUGACCGCCUGGGGAGUACGGUCGCAAGAUUAAAACUCAAAGGAAUUGACGGGGACCCGCACAAGCGGUGGAUGAUGUGGAUUAAUUCGAUGCAACGCGAAGAACCUUACCUGGUCUUGACAUGUACGGAAGAGAGUAGAGAUACUCCUGUCUCUUAUACACAUCU
rnacentral:rRNA from 1 species